GUGUCAGCAGCCGCGGUAAUACGAAGGGGGCUAGCGUUGCUCGGAAUGACUGGGCGUAAAGGGCGCGUAGGCGGUUUGUACAGUCAGAUGUGAAAUUCCUGGGCUCAACCUGGGGGCUGCAUUUGAUACGUAUGGACUGGAGUGAGGAAGAGGGUCGUGGAAUUCCCAGUGUAGAGGUGAAAUUCGUAGAUAUUGGGAAGAACACCGGUGGCGAAGGCGGCGACCUGGUCCUUUACUGACGCUGAGGCGCGAAAGCGUGGGGAGCAAACAGGAUUAGAUACCCUGGUAGUCC
rnacentral:rRNA from 1 species